rnacentral:rRNA from 1 species
CCUACGGGAGGCAGCAGUGGGGAAUAUUGCACAAUGGGGGAAACCCUGAUGCAGCGACGCCGCGUGAGUGAAGAAGUAAUUCGUUAUGUAAAGCUCUAUCAGCAGGGAAGAAAAUGACGGUACCUGAGUCAGAAGCCCCGGCUAACUACGUGCCAGCAGCCGCGGUAAUACGUAGGGGGCAAGCGUUAUCGGGAUUUACUGGGUGUAAAGGGAGCGUAGACGGCAGUGCAAGUCUGGAGUGAAAGGCGGGGGCUCAACCCCCGGACUGCUCUGGAAACUGUACGGCUGGAGUGCAGGAGAGGUAAGUGGAAUUCCUAGUGUAGCGGUGAAAUGCGUAGAUAUUAGGAGGAACACCAGUGGCGAAGGCGGCUUACUGGACUGUAACUGACGUUGAGGCUCGAAAGCGUGGGGAGCAAACAGGAUUAGAUACCCUUGUAGUC